rnacentral:lncRNA from 1 species
ACUCCCAUUGAGCCCGUGACAACCGUCGCGACGUCCCGAUAGGCACUAAUUACCCCGAAUGCUGAUCGAAACCCCGCAAGGCUUAGCAUCAGCUUCCGCAUCUCCCCAGUGAGCGACAGUUAUUAAAUCUCAUAUUUAAAAAAAAAUCAUAAGUCAUUUCCAAAUCAAAACAAUAAAAUAUUACUUUCUGGCUCAUAGGGGCAUUUUCAUCAUUUUUCUUCGAAAACACCAAAACCCGCCAAAAACAUGGUGUAAAAGCUCAAUAUGUUCAUACAUACUUUAAAUCAAAUAACUGAAGAAUAAAAU